GUUCCUGCUUCUUUCCCCAAUUUUUGUCUUCCUUUCCCCAAAUUCUUCUUCCUUUCCCCAAUUCUUGUCUUCCUUUCCCCAAAUUCUUUGCUCCUUUUCCCAAUUCUCCUUUCUUUCCCGUGUUCUCCUCUUUCUUUCCUAAUUUCUUCUCCUUCCUUCCCCAGUUCUUGUCUUUCUUUCCCCAGUUCUUGUUUCUUUCCCCAUUUCCUGUCUCCUCUUUCAUUUCCCCAAGACCCUGCUUCUUUCCCCAAUUCUUGUCUUCCUUUCCCCAAAUUCUUCUUUCUUUCCCCAAUUCUUGUCUUUCUUUCCCCAGUUCUUCUUUCUUUCCCCAUUUCCUGUCUCGUCUUUCAUUUCCCCCCAGUUCCUGCUUCUUUCCCCAAUUUUUGUCUUCCUUUCCCCAGUUCUCCUCUUUUUUUCCCCAGAUCUCGUCUUUCUUUCCCCAAAUUCUUCUCUCCUUUUCCCAAUUCUCCUCUUUCUUUCCCCCGUUCUCCUCCUUCUUUCCUCAUUUCUUCUCCUUCUUUCCCCAAUUCACGUCUUUCUUUCCCGUUCAUUUUCUUUCUUUCUUCCUUUCUCUCCUGUCUCGUCUUUCAUUUCCCCAAGUUCCUGCUUCUUUCCCCAAUUUUUGUCUUCCUUUCCCCAAAUUCUUCUUCCUUUCCCCANUCCUUUCUCUCCUGUCUCGUCUUUCAUUUCCCCAAGUUCCUGCUUCUUUCCCCAAUUUUUGUCUUCCUUUCCCCAAAUUCUUCUUCCUUUCCCCAGUUCUCCUCUUUCUUUCCCCAAAUUCUUCUCUCCUUUUCCCAAUUCUCCUUCCUUUCCCGUGUUCUCCUAUUUCUUUCCCAUGUUCUCCUCUUUCUUUCCUCAUUUCUUCUCCUUCCUUCCCCAGUUCUUGUCUUUCUUUCCCUAGUUCUUUUUCUUUCUUUCUUUCUUUCUUUUUCUUUCUUUCUUUCUUUUUCUUGUCUCCUCUUUCAUUUCCCCAAGUUCCUGCUUCUUUCCCCAAUUCUUGUCUUCCUUUCCCCAAAUUCUUCGCUCCUUUCCCCAGUUCUCCUCUUUCUUUCCCCAGUUCCUGUCUUUUCCAAUUCUUCCUCUCCUUUCCCCAGUUCUCCUCUUUCUUUCCCCAAAUUCUUCUCCUCCUUUCCCCAAUUCUCGUCUCUUUCCCUAAAUUCUUCUUUCUUUCCCCAAUUCUCUUCUUUCUUUCCCGUUCUCUUUCUUUCUUUCUCUUUCUUUCUUUCUUUUUCCUUCUUUCCUUCCUUCUUUCCUUUUCUUUCCUUUCUUUUCUUUCUUUCUUUUUCCUUCUUUCCUUCCUUCUUUUCUUCCUUCUUUCCUUUCUUUUAUUUUCUUUCUUUUUUCUUCUUUCCUUCCUUCUUUCCCUUUCUUUCUUUCCUUUCUUUUCUUUCUUUUUCUUUCUUUUUCCUUCUUUCCUUCCUUCUUUCCUUCCUUCUUUUCUUCCUUCUUUCCUUUCCUUUCUUUUCUUUCUUUUUCCUUCUUUCCUUUCUUUUUCUUUCUUUCCUUCCUUUCUUUCCUUUCUUUUUUCUUUCUUUCCUUCCUCCUUUCCUUCCUUCCUUUCUUUUUCUUUCUUUCUUUUCUUUCUUUCCUGUCUCGUCUUUCAUUUCCCCCCAGUUCCUGCUUCUUUCCCCAAUGUUUGUCUUCCUUUCCCCAAAUUCUUCUCUCCUUUCCCCAGUUCUCCUCUUUCUCUCCUCCAUUCCCAUCUUUCUUCCCCAAUUCUUCCCCUUCUUUCCCCAAUUCUCAUCCCUUUCAUGGGGAGAAUCAAGGCAAAGGGAAAAAAAUGAACGGGUAGAGGAGAACGAAAGGGAGGAACAAUUAACAGAGAUAAUUAAAAACGGCGACUAAUGGCUGGAUAGCGUGAGAAAACUACUAGCAGAGGAUGGUUUCGAUCCAUCGACCUCUGGGUUAUGGGCCCAGCACGCUUCCGCUGCGCCACUCUGCUCCUGCAUUGAAGCUAAUUACUUUGUGCUUAUUAAUUACACAUUGAAAUUUUUGUUACUGGAAUAGAGGAAAAAAAUUUUUUUUUUUUUUAAAAACUGAAAAGCUGGCGCGAAUUCAUCAGAAUCUUUGUCUCACGCGGCUCGAAGCGCUGAUUGAGAUUAAUGACCGCAAAAGAAUGACGUGAUCCCGUCAUUAAUUAACGCAAAAUGACGCGCGGGUGGAGAUGCCGGGGAUUGAACCCGGGACCUCAUACAUGCGAAGCAUGCGCUCUACCACUGAGCUACAUCCCCUGCGCCCACCCCCUGUCCUUCGCCGCCGCUCAUUGGCUGCACGCUCCGCCUUAUCCCCGCCCCUUCCGCCCGCUUCCUCCCUCCCUCAGCAGCUCAUUGGUUCAUCCGACGUAUUCGUCCCGCCCCUUACGCCCACCCCUUUCCCUUCUCCGCCGCUCAUUGGCUCGUCCCAGCCCUUCUCCCCGCCCCUUCCUUUCCGCCGCCGCUCAUUGGUUUACCCCUUCCCAUUGGCCCCGCCCCGUGCUCCCACUCCUCCUCCUUCCCGGCUGCUCAUUGGUUCGCCCCACCCCUUCGCCCCACCCCUUCCGCCCGCCCCUUCCCAUCUCCGGCGCUGAUUGGUUCAACCCACCCCUUCGCCCCGCCCCCUGGAUCGGCGCAGCCUAUGGCGUGACGCGGCGCGGGGCGCACACAGCAGACGAGGUGGCCGAGUGGUUAAGGCGAUGGACUGCUAAUCCAUUGUGCUCUGCACGCGUGGGUUCGAAUCCCAUCCUCGUCGGGUGCGAACCUUUUGGGCUCUCUUUUAUUUUUUGCCCUAUUUCCCACAUUUCUUCCACCUCUCCCUUCACCUCCGGCCAUUUUGCCCCAGCUUCACCCCCCUUCCUCCUCCCUCCCCA
ensembl:lncRNA